CCCGUGUGGGCGCUGGGUGGGGCUGUCAACCCUGGAACCGGACCAGUCAUGACCAGAAAACUUGCCUCAGAAAGUCUACUCUCAACACGCACCAUUGCAAAUGAGGUAUGGAAGCUGAAGAAGAUAGCAAGCAAAGAAGUGAAGGUUUCACAAGAAAAUGAAUAAACUCAAGUCAACUGAAAAUACACAAAGAAACAGAUGACAAGGAUAUAACAACUUUCUGUAAUGGUACACAGUUGAGGUAUACAGCGUGGAUCAUAAUAAUUACCACAAAGUGAACUCCUCCACAUUAGAACAAUCCAGAUGAUUAAGGAAAUUUUGCAGGAGAAAAAGGGACACUAGAAGAAAGCAAUGGAGCAGGCAAUGCAGAUCUUCUUUAAAAAGAAAGCUUGUCUUCUAAGAAAGGCCACCUUCCUUAUCACUUCCAACUCCAGAGGAGUAGAACCAGAA